AUACGUAGGGGGCGAGCGUUGUCCGGAAUGAUUGGGCGUAAAGGGCGCGUAGGCGGCCCGGUAAGUCUGGAGUGAAAGUCCUGCUUUUAAGGUGGGAAUUGCUUUGGAUACUGUCGGGCUUGAGUGCAGGAGAGGUAAGUGGAAUUCCCAGUGUAGCGGUGAAAUGCGUAGAGAUUGGGAGGAACACCAGUGGCGAAGGCGACUUACUGGACUGUAACUGACGCUGAGGCGCGAAAGUGUGGGGAGCAAACAGGAUUAGAUACCCUGGUAGUCCACACUGUAAACGAUGAAUGCUAGGUGUAGGGGGUAUCGACCCCUUCUGUGCCGCAGUAAACACAAUAAGCACUCCGCCUGGGGAGUACGGCCGCAAGGUUGAAACUCAAAGGAAUUGACGGGG
rnacentral:rRNA from 1 species